rnacentral:misc_RNA from 1 species
GAUAGCCUUGAGUACAAAACCUGAAGAAUAUAUUACUUAAUCGCCUGAAUACAAAAACAGACAUUACAAGACAUACACCGACAACACACAGACAUUACCACAAAUAGCUGCAAGGUACAGAAUAUACCGAAGAGACACAGACAUUACCACAAACAGCUGCAAGGUGCAGGAUAUACCAAAGAGACACAGGCGCUUCAGAUGAACACGGAACGGAAGGGAGAUGAAAAUGAAGCUUUCAGCCGGAGAUAUCAAUGGAUUUCGUCUCCGGUUUCUUCACCUCCACCUUGGGGACGGUGACGGUGAGCACGCCAUUUUCCAUCGCCGCCUUCACCUCCUCCACCUUUGCAUUCUCCGGCAGCCGGAAUACGCGGAGGAAUUGGCCGCUGCUGCGCUCCACGCGGUGCCAGGUGUCGGUCUUCUCCUCCUGCUCCUUCCUCCUCUCCCCGCUGAUCUUGAGGACGCGGCCGUCCUCCACCUCAACCUUCACCUCCUCCUUCUUCACCCCGGGCAGAUCGGCCUUGAAGAGAUGG